AGAGUUUGAUCCUGGCUCAGAACGAACGCUGGCGGCGUGGUUUAGGCAUGCAAGUCGAACGCGUCAUAUUGUCGAGGGCAACCGAGAUGAUGUGAUGAGUGGCAAAAGGGUGAGUAACGCGUAGGUAAUUUACCUCUAAGUUGGGGACAACCCACCGAAAGGUGGGCUAAUACCGAAUAAGCCCACAGAACCGAAUGGUUUAGGGGGAAAAGAUGGGGAUCCGCAAGGACCUGUCACUAAGAGAUAAGCCUGCGUCCUAUCAGCUAGUUGGUAGGGUAACGGCCUACCAAGGCUUUUGACGGGUAGCUGGUCUGAGAGGAUGGUCAGCCACACUGGGACUGAGACACUGCCCAGACUCCUACGGGAGGCUGCAGUCGAGAAUAUUUUGCAAUGGGCGAAAGCCUGACAAUGCGACGCCGCGUGAGCGAUGAAGGCCUUCGGGUUGUAAAGCUCUGUCACGUUGGAAGAAAGUAAAGGGGUUAAUACCUCCUUUAUUUGACGGUACAACGGAAGGAAGCCACGGCUAACUCCGUGCCAGCAGCCGCGGUAAUACGGAGGUGGCAAGCGUUGUUCGGAUUCAUUGGGUGUAAAGGGCAUGUAGGCGUCUCGUUAAGUCAAAUGUGAAAUCCCAUGGCUCAACCAAGGAACUGCAUUUGAAACUGGCGAGAUUGAGUACGGGAGAGGAGAGUGGAAUUUCCGGUGUAAGGGUGAAAUCUGUAGAUAUCGGGAGGAACACCAGUAGCGAAGGCGACUCUCUGGUCCGAUACUGACGCUGAGAUGCGAAAGCUAGGGGAGCAAACAGGAUUAGAUACCCUGGUAGUCC
rnacentral:rRNA from 1 species